ACUUAUUGCACUUACUCCAAUUGGAAAGGCAAUAGCAAUCGCGUCGCGGAAGAAACAAGAAAGUAAAACAGCGAGAAGCUCUGCAAAUGCAUUGGUUAUUUUUAAAGCACAACCGCGAUUAGAGGAAGUGUCUCUUGUUAGACAAUUGAAUUGGCCAUACAUCGGCAAGAGUGUUAUAAAAGAGAAGCGCGUAGGUGUGCCAACAACCCAAGCAAAUUCUUUUGCAUUCGCUUUUGAACCGCAUUCAUCGCGAGUUCAGUUUCACUGUGUGCGUGAGCAAAGAGCGUGUGCAAAUAACUUUUGCCGCGUUGUCCGCCUGCUGCGAAUUUCCAACCCAAAGAAGAGAGAGAGAGAGCGCGCGAAGAGGAAGAGAGGAUCGAUCGGGUGAAUGUCGCUGAAACACCAGAAGCAAUCCUACCAACCGCUCCCAACGGCGGCCGCCAUGGACAAUCCGGCGAUGAUCCAGAGCAGCGGGAGCAGUGGGAGCAGCUCCUCCGAGGAGGGCGGCAGUCGUGAGGAUGUGGCCAAUCUCUCGCCGCUCGGACUGCCUACGACCUACUCGUCACAGCAACUGAUGCCCUCGGAUACGGACAGCAUGGAGGAGGAGCGCCACCGCCUGCGUCCGCACCACCACCACCAUCAUCCACUGGGCGAGCACCACCACAUCCCGGGCAUACCGCCCUCCGCCGUCGUCCCCUCGCGACUCUCCAGCGUGGGCAGAUCACAGUGGUUCACGGUCACCGUUCUCUGCUUCGUCAACCUCAUCAACUACAUGGAUCGCUUCACGAUCGCAGGUGUCCUCACAGAUGUCCGCGCAGAUUUCGACAUUGGAAACGACAGUGCCGGACUCCUGCAGACCGUCUUCGUUAUCUCGUACAUGGUGUGCGCCCCCAUCUUCGGUUAUCUGGGCGAUCGCUACUCCCGCCCCUGGAUAAUGGCGGUGGGCGUGGGCCUGUGGAGCACCACCACCCUGCUGGGUUCGUUCAUGAAGCAGUUUGGCUGGUUCAUCGCCUUCAGGGCGCUGGUCGGGAUCGGGGAGGCGUCGUACAGCACCAUCGCACCGACGAUCAUCUCGGAUCUGUUCGUGCACGACAUGCGCUCCAAGAUGCUGGCACUGUUCUACUUUGCCAUACCCGUGGGAUCCGGUCUGGGAUACAUUGUGGGAUCCAAGACGGCGCACCUGGCCAACGAUUGGCGCUGGGCUUUGAGGGUCACACCCAUUCUGGGCAUUGUGGCCGUGCUGCUCAUCUGGCUCAUCAAGGAUCCGGUGCGGGGUCACAGCGAGGGAUCGCACAACCUGGAGGCCACCACCUACAAGCAGGACAUCAAGGCGCUGGUCAAGAAUCGUUCCUUCAUGCUCUCCACGGCUGGAUUCACGUGCGUCGCCUUUGUGGCCGGAGCUCUGGCCUGGUGGGGACCUUCCUUCAUCUAUCUAGGCAUGAAGAUGCAGCCCGGCAAUGAGAACAUUGUCCAGGACGACAUCUCGUACAAGUUUGGUCUGGUGGCCAUGUUGGCUGGACUCAUCGGAGUUCCGUUGGGCUCCUUCCUGGCCCAGCGACUGAGGGGUCGCUACGAGAACUGUGACCCGUACAUCUGUGCGGUGGGACUCUUCAUCUCAGCACCGAUGGUAUUUGCUGCUCUUGUGGUGCCGCAGACGAGCGAGAGCCUCUGCUUUUUCUUCGUUUUCGUGGCCCAGGUGGCACUGAACCUGUGCUGGUCCAUUGUGGCCGACAUCCUACUGUAUGUGGUGGUUCCCACACGGCGCUCCACAGCCGAGGCCUUCCAAAUCCUCAUCUCACACGCACUGGGCGAUGCCGGCAGUCCGUAUCUGGUGGGCGCAAUCUCUGAGGCCAUCAUGAAGCACCUGCACAAGAACCCCAGCGACUCUGGUCUGACCACCGAGCUGCAGAGCAUGUCCCAAGUGGCGGGAACCGCCAUCACCAAUGCCACCCAGGCGAUCACGGAAGCCACCACCAGUUUGAUCGAAACAGCGCACUCUGCUGUCUCCCAGGAAUACUCUGAUGUGGAGCAGUUCGAGGGACUGCAGUAUGCGCUCUUCUCCACCAGUUUUGUGGAGGUGCUGGGCGGCAUCUUCUUCAUAUUCACCGCCUGCUUCAUCAUCAAAGACAAGUACAACGCCACGCGAGGACUGCAAGGCGACCAGGGAGCGCAGGCGGUUCGAUCGUCAGUCGCCUUGGCCAGCGGGCAAAAGGACGUUGAGUCCUUCAACUCCGACUGCCUGGUCCUGUGCACUGACAUCGCGCUGCGCGAACGCACGUGAUAGCUCAAAUAUGAAAUGUGUAUACACACAUAGGUGCCCAGCACCAAAUGAUUAUUGUUUGGCCCAGUUCCCGAUGUCACGGCUCAACAACAGCAGCGGGAUGAGCGCGGUCAGAUUGCCUAAUACCAGCCGAUCCUCGAGGUUUUGCUGCGCACUCAGAGCUCCGAUGGCAUGCCGGGUGAACUGAUACUGACUGAAAACCAUCUUUAAUUUAAUUUACGGUCACUCGCACCACGCACAUCCCGCAUCGGAUCAAACUGGAAGCUUACGGGGACGGGAAGCUCAGUUGGCCCGACAAGUCCCCGAUGUUCAUGUUCCUAUUGAGAAGGAUCGGAUGGAAGGAGUAACGAGGAUGAAAGGACCACCAUGCCAACGUUCAAGCACGCCACACCGAUUUGUAGAUAUAUAUACAAAACAAUCACUCACACAGGCACUCACUCCUCACCAAGUCAUAACAUUACACAGAUCAUUUUACUUGUAAACGUCAAAGGGCUAGGAUACCCACGAUAUCUUGCUUCACACACAUAUAGUCGUAGAUAGGUCUAGCUCUGGUAUUUUAGACUAAAUCAAAAUUAGCAAGAGUUUCUUCUUACAGCAGACUCGCAUUCGAAGAAGUGCUCCCUCAGAACGGAUAAUGUAAAUAGAUUAUCUCAGGCAUCGAAUGCGUAGUACAUGCAAUUUGGAUAUUUAUAUAAAUGUAUGUAUGAGUAUAUUUAAUAUGAAUUGUAAAUAUAGAUAAGCACCGGGCCAUUGUAUAAGUGCAUAGUCUAUUUAAUCAGUUUUAUCAUAACGCCUUAGUUUUACACUGAACAUAAUUUUAAUCAUAGCUUUAGCUAGUUGUGUAACAAAUUGGAGAAAUGUGUGCACCCUCAGCAAUUACUGAAUAUUACAGCAAAACAAUUUUGAACCAAAACAACACCAAUCAGUCCUCGAGUUUGCUUUCUUUUAUUUGUUAAAUCUCAAUCGAAUGCUAGCCUAAUUGGAACGCAUAUUAAAAGCGACAUAAAGACUGCGAGCAAUCAAAUAUUGGUACGUCGAUAUUUGGCUAAGAAUAAACCAAACUAAUUGUUUAGCAACUAAGGAAAUCAUCCGGGGCAAUAAAGAAACAUUUUAAAUCAA